rnacentral:rRNA from 1 species
AUCUUGCGCAAUGGGCGAAAGCCUGACGCAGCGACGCCGCGUGAGUGAUGAAGGCCUUCGGGUUGUAAAGCUCUGUGGAGGGGGACGAAUAAGCGUUGGCUAAUAUCCAACGUGAUGACGGUACCCCUUUAGCAAGCACCGGCUAACUCUGUGCCAGCAGCCGCGGUAAGACAGAGGGUGCAAACGUUGUUCGGAAUUACUGGGCGUAAAGCGCGUGUAGGCGGCAUGGCAAGUCGGGUGUGAAAGCCCUGGGCUCAACCUAGGAAGUGCACUCGAAACUGCCACGCUUGAGUCUUGGAGAGGAAGGCGGAAUUCUCGGUGUAGAGGUGAAAUUCGUAGAUAUCGGGAGGAACACCGGUGGCGAAGGCGGCCUUCUGGACAAUGACUGACGCUGAGACGCGAAAGCGUGGGGAGCAAAC